rnacentral:rRNA from 1 species
UGGGGAAUUGUUCGCAAUGGGCGCAAGCCUGACGACGCAACGCCGCGUGGAGGAUGACGGUCUUCGGAUUGUAAACUCCUGUUGCCCGGGACGAAUGGCCCUGACCUAACACGUCAGGGGCCGGACGGUACCGGGUGAGGAAGCCCCGGCUAACUCUGUGCCAGCAGCCGCGGUAAUACAGAGGGGGCAAGCGUUGUUCGGAAUUACUGGGCGUAAAGGGCGCGUAGGCGGCCGGCUAAGUCGAACGUGAAAUCCCCGGGCUCAACCCGGGAACUGCGUCCGAGACUGGUCGGCUUGAAUCCGGGAGAGGGAUGCGGAAUUCCAGGUGUAGCGGUGAAAUGCGUAGAUAUCUGGAGGAACACCGGUGGCGAAGGCGGCAUCCUGGACCGGCAUUGACGCUGAGGCGCGAAAGCCAGGGGAGCAAACGGG